rnacentral:rRNA from 1 species
GCAAGUCGAGGGGUAACGGGGCAGCUUGCUUCCGCCGACGACCGGCGCACGGGUGCGUAACGCGUAUACAAUCUACCUUAUACUGGGGUAUAGCCUUUAGAAAUGAAGAUUAAUCCCCCAUAGUCUCUUAGAGUGGCAUCGUUUUAGGAGUAAAGGUUACGGUAUAAGAUGAGUAUGCGUUCUAUUAGUUUGUUGGUGUGGUAACGGCACACCAAGACUACGAUAGAUAGGGGCCCUGAGAGGGGGAUC